CAGAUUGAACGCUGGCGGCAGGCUUAACACAUGCAAGUCGAGCGGUAGCACAGGGGAGCUUGCUCCCUGGGUGACGAGCGGCGGACGGGUGAGUAAUGUCUGGGAAACUGCCUGAUGGAGGGGGAUAACUACUGGAAACGGUAGCUAAUACCGCAUAACGUCGCAAGACCAAAGAGGGGGACCUUCGGGCCUCUUGCCAUCAGAUGUGCCCAGAUGGGAUUAGCUAGUAGGUGGGGUAAUGGCUCACCUAGGCGACGAUCCCUAGCUGGUCUGAGAGGAUGACCAGCCACACUGGAACUGAGACACGGUCCAGACUCCUACGGGAGGCAGCAGUGGGGAAUAUUGCACAAUGGGCGCAAGCCUGAUGCAGCCAUGCCGCGUGUGUGAAGAAGGCCUUCGGGUUGUAAAGCACUUUCAGCGAGGAGGAAGGUGGUGAGCUUAAUACGCUCAUCAAUUGACGUUACUCGCAGAAGAAGCACCGGCUAACUCCGUGC
rnacentral:rRNA from 1 species